GCCUGCAUGCCCUGCCCAGCACCUGUUCAGAGGGGAGGCUGAGCUGCACAGACCUGCCUUGCCCAGGUACGUAUGUCCCAGCUCAGGGGGAGGUGAGGAAAAGCGGCCAGGGUCACAGUGAGGGCUGGGACUGGGGAAGGGAUGUCUGUGCCCCAGUGCCCUUCCAUUGUCCCCUGCCGCAGUGCCUGGUGGCUGGUGCCCAUGGUCGGAGUGGACGCCAUGCUCCCAGCCCUGCAGGGGCCAGACGAGGACCCGCUCCAGGGCCUGCGCUUGCCCCGCCCCUCAGCACGGGGGCGCCCCGUGUCCCGGGGAAGCAGGGGAGGCAGGGGCCCAGCAUCAGAAGGAGACCUGCCCCAGCUCACCCGAGUGCCCAGGUGAGAUGCCCCCACUUGUCUGCUCAAAUCUCAAUAGGCCGGGCACCUCCUAGGCCUCCUAGGGCAGUUGAUGCUGUCUUCCCGGCACAGUGGACGGAGCCUGGAGCCCAUGGGGACUGUGGUCUUCCUGUGACGCGUGCCUGGGGCAGUCCCAUCGGAGCCGGGUGUGUAUCUGGCCCCCCACCCCUGAGGGAGGCAGGCCCUGCCCUGGGGGCCACAGGCAGAGUCGCCCCUGCCAGGACAAUUCCACAAAAUGCACAGGUGAGGGCUUCUGUAGAGGUCGGGGAGGGUCCCUUGGAAGGCUUGGGAGACAUGGCCUCUGGCCUUUGUCCCCAGUAUACGCAUGCAUGUCACUUUCUUUGAGAGGCAGCAUUUAGAUCCCUUACCUUGUGGUCCUGGGACGAGGUGGAAAGUCAGGCGGCUGGGGGUGGUGAGGCAGGAGGGCUUGUCCCCUGAGUCCUGGGAUCCUGCAGGAUGGGCCCCUGCUCAGCGUCUGCCCUCUCUGCUUCCUUCCCGUCACAGAGUGUGGGGGUGGCCAGGGUCUUCUCCCCUGUGGGCGGCCCUGUCCCCGCUCCUGUCAGGACCUGUCUCCCGGGAGUGCGUGCCAGCCGGGCUCGACGGGCUGCCAGCCCAGCUGCGGGUGCCCCCCUGGCCGGCUGUUCCAGGACGGCCUCUGUGUGCCUCCUGCCCUCUGCCGCUGCCAGUACCAGCCUGGAGCCAUGGGUCAGUGCUUCCCUCCGUGCUCUCCCCAUUUCUCCCGAGCACCGCGGUGCCCGCCGGCCUGGCCUCUGCCUGUCUGGCUCCGGAGCCCAGCCUGGGCUGCAGGAUGUCGCUCCAGGCGUUAGUGUCUCGUGCAUCCCCCCGCAUCCCUGCUCCAGGCUGGGGCUUCCACCUCCCAGGCCCAGGAUCUGGGGCACCGUGGGGUGUAGGCUGAUAGAGAGGGAGGUAGAAGGCAGUGGGAUAGGAGGAAGGGUUGAGGGUGCGGGGCCCGCUGAGCUGUCUGGGGUCCCACCCCGACCCGUGCCCUCAGGGAUCCCUGAGAACCAGAGCCGGUCAGCAGGGCCUGGGCUCAGCUCCUGGGAGAGCCUGGAACCCGGAGAGAUGGUGACCGGGCCCUGUGACAACUGGUGAGUCAAGAGGAGCAGGGAGGGGGUGGGCUGCAGAGCCGGGCAGUGGGGGCUCUUGUGGGAGUUGGCCAGGGUGCUGUCUUCUGAGGCCCCCUCCCUUGUCCCCAGCACCUGUAUGGAGGGCGUCCUGCAGUGCCAGGAGGUGCCCAGCUGCCCUGGGCCUGGGGUGUGGGGCUCCUGGGGCCCCUGGGAGGACUGCAGUGUUUCUUGCGGGGGAGGGGAGCAGCUCCGCUCCCGGAGGUGUGCCCGGCCCCCCUGCCCUGGGCCUGCCCGCCAGAGCCGCACCUGCCGCACCCAGGUCUGCAGAGGUGAGCCCCGACCGGGGUCUGCCCUUGACGGAUUCCCAUGUUGGCCUCUGAUGCUGACUCAUAGGUGCCUUUGACCUCUUCCGUCCCAUCCCCCCACACUGCCCUUUCCCGGGGCCAGUGAUGGGCAUGUGGAGGAGGAAGUAGCCAGAUUCAGGGAGGGUGUGGGUGGUGUGGGAGGGUGUGACAUUGGCCCUGAGGGGCACAACCCAGGGAAGGUAUUGUCUGCACAACUGGGGAGCUGUGGGAAGGUGGGUACUGGGGUGAGUAAGCAGGCCGCGGGGUGAGCACAGAAGUAGCCAUUGAGGGCAGUGCAGGCCAGAGCUGGGCACUGACCCGAGUGUUGUCACAGAGGCUGGCUGCCCGGCUGGACGUUUGUACCGGGAAUGCCGGCCCGGCGAGGGGUGUCCCUUCUCCUGUGCUCACGUCACUCGCCAGGUGGGCUGCUUCUC
rnacentral:lncRNA from 1 species